rnacentral:rRNA from 1 species
ACGGCUCAGUAACACGUAUAGGAAUUGGCGGGGGAGCACAUACUGCUCAGUAACACGUAUAGGAAUUGGCGGGGGAGCACAUACGGCUCAGUAACACGUGGCUAAUCUGCCCUUAGGACGAGAACAACCCCGGGAAACUGGGGCUAAUUCUCGAUAGGCGAAGAACUCCGGAAUGAGUCUUUACCCAAAAGACACCGCGUUAUCCUCGUGGUGUUGCCUAAGGAUGAGGCCGCGACCGAUCAGGUUGUUGGUGAGGUAAUGGCUCACCAAGCCUUUUACCGGUGCGGGCCGUGGGAGCGGGAGCCCGGAGAUGGGCACUGAGACAAGGGCCCAGGCCCUACGGGGCGCAGCAGUCGCGAAAACUUUGCAAUAAGCGAAAGCUUGACAGGGCUAUCCCGAGUGCCAUCCGCUGAGGAAGGCCUUUACCCAGUCUAGAACGCUGGGGGAAUAAGGAGAGGGCAAGUCUGGUGUCAGCCGCCGCGGUAAUACCAGCUCUCCGAGUGGUGUGGAUGUUUAUUGGGCCUAAAGCAUCCGUAGCUGGCUAGGUAAGUCCCUUGUUAAAUCCACCGAAUUAAUCGUUGGAUUGCGGGGGAUACUGCUUGGCUAGGGGACGAGAGAGGCAGACGGUAUUUUCGGGGUAGGGGUGAAAUCCUAUAAUCCCGGGAAGACCACCAGUGGCGAAGGCUGUCUGCUAGAACGCGCCCGACGGUGAGGGAUGAAAGCUGGGGGAGCGAACCGGAUUAGAUACCCGGGUAGUCCCAGCUGUAAACGAUGCAGACUAGGUGUUUGGACGGCCACGUGCCGUUCUAGUGCCGCAGGGAAGCUGUUAAGUCUGCCGCCUGGGGAGUACGAUCGCAAGAUUGAAACUUAAAGGAAUUGGCGGGGGAGCAC